rnacentral:rRNA from 1 species
ACGAACGCUGGCGGCAUGCCUAACACAUGCAAGUCGAACGAACCUUUCGGGGUUAGUGGCGCACGGGUGCGUAACGCGUGGGAAUCUGCCCUUAGGUACGGAAUAACUCACCGAAAGGUGUGCUAAUACCGUAUGAUGUCGAAAGACCAAAGAUUUAUCGCCUAAGGAUGAGCCCGCGUUGGAUUAGCUUGUUGGUGAGGUAAAGGCUCACCAAGGCGACGAUCCAUAGCUGGUCUGAGAGGAUGAUCAGCCACACUGGGACUGAGACACGGCCCAGACUCCUACGGGAGGCAGCAGUGGGGAAUAUUGGACAAUGGGCGAAAGCCUGAUCCAGCAAUGCCGCGUGAGUGAUGAAGGCCUUAGGGUUGUAAAGCUCUUUUACCCGGGAAGAUAAUGACUGUACCGGGAGAAUAAGCCCCGGCUAACUCCGU